UAUGAAGCGAUGAUAAAGAGUAGUACAUAGUGACUUCAUUUUUAGAGAGCCUGCUGCUGCUGGAAUGCAGGCAAUGAAAGCUAUGGAAUGGACUUUUGAGCAGCUGGCCGAACAUUAGUAGGAUCAGCCGUUUCGUCUUGCGUUAAAAGACGUUAAGUGAUUUCUUUUAGAAAUAAUUAGGGUGGCACCGCGGUCCAUUCGUCCCUGUU
rnacentral:ncRNA from 1 species